CCGUAAACGGUGGGCACUAGUUGUGGGAACCUUCCACGGUUUCUGCGACGCAGCUAACGCAUUAAGUGCCCCGCCUGGGGAGUACGAUCGCAAGAUUAAAACUCAAAGGAAUUGACGGGGCCCCGCACAAGCAGCGGAGCAUGCGGCUUAAUUCGACGCAACGCGAAGAACCUUACCAAGGCUUGACAUAUAGGGAAAAGUGGCAGAGAUGUCAUGUCCGCAAGGGCCCUAUACAGGUGGUGCAUGGUUGUCGUCAGCUCGUGUCGUGAGAUGUUGGGUUAAGUCCCGCAACGAGCGCAACCCUCGUUCUGUGUUGCCAGCAUUUAGUUGGGGACUCACAGGAGACUGCCGGGGUUAACUCGGAGGAAGGUGGGGAUGACGUCAAAUCAUCAUGCCCCUUAUGUCUUGGGCUGCACGCAUGCUACAAUGGCCGGUACAGAGGGCUGCAAUACCGUAAGGUGGAGCGAAUCCCAAAAAGCCGGUCUCAGUUCGGAUUGAGGUCUGCAACUCGACCUCAUGAAGUUGGAGUUGCUAGUAAUCGUAGAUCAGCAACGCUACGGUGAAUACGUUCCCGGGGCUUGUACACACCGCCCGUCACGUCACGAAAGUCGGUAACACCCAAAGUCAGUGGCCCAACCGCAAGGGGGGAGCUGCCUAAGGUGGGAUCGGUGAUUGGGACGAAGUCGUAACAAGGUAG
rnacentral:rRNA from 1 species